rnacentral:lncRNA from 1 species
GUUUCACUAAAUUUCUGAGGCUGGCCUCAAAAAAAUUUGCUAUCCUCCUGCCUCAGCCCUCAAAGUUGCAGUAAUUGCAGGCAUGUAAUCCACAGCAUAAUCCAUUUAGUCUUUGGAAUUUUCCCACACUCUGUUCAAAGGCCUUAGUUUCAAGAUUUGAAAAUUUAAUUCUGUCCCUCUUAGUUGCAAAGUUGUUACAAUGUUUUAUUUCAGUGCUCUGGAUCCAGUACCAGGCCUGAGGCAUGUUAGGGGAGGGCUCUACUGCUGGGCUACCUCCCCAGCCCAUAUUAUGUGAAGCGUGUGCAAAGAUCUGGGCUGGGAACCUGCAUCUAGGCUGAUGUAUCAAACACCUCUUAGAAUCAGAUUUGAUUAUUUUUUUGGUUUGCUGUGUUCAUCAGGCUGACCAUAAACACCUGGGCUCAAGUGACCACUCCUGCUUCAGCCACCUGGCAAGCAUACUUCCAUGCCAGGUCAGAACUGCUCCCCACCCCCAUCCCCCUUGGUCCUGGGAUUGAACUCAGGGGUAUUUUACCACUGAACUAUAGUCCUUGUCCUUUUUAUUUUUAAAAUUUAAAUCUUUUUUUUUCACAUUUUUCAUAGUUGUAAGUAAUGAUCAGAUUUGUUUCUAUAUAUUUGUACAGUCACAAUUUAUUUUGAGGCAGGGUCUUGCUAAGUUGCUGCUGCUAAAUUGAGGGAAACAAGUUUUUGAGUAUAGAUUUGGGAAUACUCUAAUCUCUGCAGAACAACUUUGAUGUGGGACAGCCCCUGGAAGUUAGUUAACUGGACCCCCAAAAUGCUGAAUGGUAGCUGCUACUUUCCCCAAUUUUGUUCCCGUGGGAGACUUGGUUAUUGCUCUUCCCACCCUGAUUCAAAAAACCAGUUUGCUCUGGCCGCCCAGACUUCCCCACAAGCUGCAUUCCUGCCCAUGAGCUCAUUGUUUUGGCUUCUUUGCUUGUAUAUAUCCACAGCCAGUGCCAGAGGUCUCAGCCUAGGGCCCCCAAACUGGCUGAGGCUGCAUUCCAUUCAGAAUUUCACCACCCCCACUUGGUAUUCUUCCCGCCCUCAUGUGGUCACAUGUGUAUGUUUAUUCAAGUUAGCAGGGGACAAGGUGUGCUGGGAAAGAGAGCCAAGGAAGCAGACAAGGAGAAAAAAAAAAACAUUUAACUGUUAGGUUUCACCUUAGGUUAAUUUUCCACUUUAUUAUUAAUCUUUUUUUUUUUUUUUUUGAAAGAGAAAGAGAGAGAGAG